rnacentral:misc_RNA from 1 species
GAUGAAGAACGUAGCGAAAUGCGAUAAGUAAUGUGAAUUGCAGAAUUCAGUGAAUCAUCGAAUCUUUGAACGCACCUUGCGCCCUUUGGCUAUUCUGAAGGGCAUGCCUGUUUGAGUAUCAUGAACACCUCAACUCUUAUGGUUUGCCAUGAUGAGCCUGGACUUUGGGGGUCUUGCUGGCCUACGGUCAGCUCCUCUCAAAUGAAUCAGCUUGCCAGUGUUUGGUAGAGUCGCAGGUGUGAUAACUAUCUACGCUUGUGGUUUUCUGCCAGAUAACCUUCAGUGAUGGAGGUUCGCUGGAGCUUAUAAAUGUCUCUCCCCAGUGAGGACAGCUUUUUGAACGUUUGAUCUCAAAUCAGGUAGGACUACCCGCUGAACUUAAGCAUAUCAAUAAGCGGAGGA